rnacentral:tRNA from 1 species
AUUAUUUUGGCAGAAAAAGUGCUUUAAAUUUAGAAUUUAAAUAUAUAAUUUAUUUUAUAAAUAAUA